AUUGAACGCUGGCGGCAUGCCUUACACAUGCAAAUCGAACGGUAACGGGCCUUCGGGUGCCGACGAGUGGCGAACGGGUGAGUAAUACAUCGGAACGUGCCCGAUCGUGGGGGAUAACGAGGCGAAAGCUUUGCUAAUACCGCAUACGAUCUACGGAUGAAAGCAGGGGACCGCAAGGCCUUGCGCGGACGGAGCGGCCGAUGGCAGAUUAGGUAGUUGGUGGGAUAAAAGCUUACCAAGCCGACGAUCUGUAGCUGGUCUGAGAGGAUGAUCAGCCACACUGGGACUGAGACACGGCCCAGACUCCUACGGGAGGCAGCAGUGGGGAAUUUUGGACAGUGGGCGCAAGCCUGAUCCAGCCAUGCCGCGUGCAGGAUGAAGGCCUUCGGGUUGUAAACUGAUUUUGUACGGAACGAAAAGCCUUCUUUUAAUACAGGAGGGUCAUGACGGUACCGUAAGAAUAAGCACCGGCUAACUACGU
rnacentral:rRNA from 1 species